UGGAUGCUUGGCCACGAGGGAGGGACCAGCAUGUUCCCAAAACAUGGACCCUACCAAGGAGGCCUCCAGUAUGAAAUGGAGGUGAAGGUCACUGGCUGCUAGUUAUUUCCUGGUUUAGCCCCCUGGGCUCUCUCUUCAUGGAGAGUCAGGUCUGCUGGGUCUGAGAACCCUCUGGGUCAUGGUGACCACUGUGAUGCUGUCCUCCCCAGACCUGUGGGGUUUUCUGACCAAGAGUGGAACUUACUCUGUGCAAUGGCCAUGACUCCAGACAAGGGGGUCAUGAUGAGGUUCUGAGAUUGCUGGGGAUUGUGGUGGGAGAGGCUGUGGAUAUUUGUCAAGGUGCUGACGGGGGGCAGUCCUCCUCCUGAGACAGUGAUCUGCUGGAGAGGACAAAGAAGAGCAGCGUGUAUCAUUAUAUAACAAGCAUCAAAUCCUGCCAGGGACUCGUUCUUGCUUUAACAAAUGUUGUUUAUAAACCCACUGAUGGAACUUUCUCCAUAGUACUAAAUAAAAACCAUUUUAAAAA